GACGAACGCUGGCGGCGUGCUUAACACAUGCAAGUCGAGCGGGGAGAUUGCUUUCGGGUGAUCUUCUAGCGGCGGACGGGUGAGUAACGCGUGAGCAACCUUUCCUCUACUGGGGAAUAACACCGGGAAACUGGUACUAAUACCGCAUGAGACCACAGAGUCGCAUGGCUUAGGGGUCAAAGAUUUAUUGGUAGAGGGUGGGCUCGCGUCUGAUUAGGUAGUUGGUGAGGUAACGGCCCACCAAGCCGACGAUCAGUAGCCGACCUGAGAGGGUGAUCGGCCACAUUGGGACUGAGACACGGCCCAGACUCCUACGGGAGGCAGCAGUGGGGAAUAUUGCGCAAUGGGGGCAACCCUGACGCAGCAACGCCGCGUGAAGGAUGAAGGUCUUCGGAUCGUAAACUUUUGUCUUAUGGGAAGAACAAGGACGGUACCAUAGGAGGAAGCCACGGCUAACUACGUG
rnacentral:rRNA from 1 species